UACGGAGGGUGCAAGCGUUAUCCGGAUUCACUGGGUUUAAAGGGUGCGUAGGAGGGCAGGUAAGUCAGUGGUGAAAUCUCCAAGCUUAACUUGGAACUGCCGUUGAUACUAUCUGUCUUGAAUAUUGUGGAGGUGAGCGGAAUAUGUCAUGUAGCGGUGAAAUGCUUAGAUAUGACAUAAGAACACCAAUUGCGAAGGCAGCUCACUACACAAUCAUUGACUCUGAGGCACGAAAGCGUGGGGAUCAAACAGG
rnacentral:rRNA from 1 species